UCCUUCUCCUUCUUCCUUCUUCCCUCUCUCGUUUUUCAGUUUCCUCUCAGAGAAGAGAAGAUGCCAAACUUUUAGUUUUGAUUUCCUUUCCAUCAUCAUCAUCUGUAUAAGACUUCAGUAUCCAUUUACGUAAAUGGAUCUGCUCUGAAGAACUGUUUUUCUUUUGUAUCAACAAAGAGUUGGAAGUAGAGAACGGAGAUUUGAGGUCAUCUGUCAGUGAUAAUUCUUCAGUUGCUACUGAAAAUCGAGAUGGAUGCAAAUACAACUCAAAGUGAAGCUGCAACUGAAAUUGGUUCCUCUAUUCACCCUACAUCUGUACCUGCACCUUCUGCUGAUGCUCAGCAAG